CCAGACAGCCAGGAUGUUGGCUUAGAAGCAGCCAUCAUUUAAAGAAAGCGUAAUAGCUCACUGGUCGAGUCGGCCUGCGCGGAAGAUGUAACGGGGCUAAACCAUGCACCGAAGCUGCGGCAGCGACGCUUAUGCGUUGUUGGGUAGGGGAGCGUUCUGUAAGCCUGUGAAGGUGUACUGUGAGGUAUGCUGGAGGUAUCAGAAGUGCGAAUGCUGACAUAAGUAACGAUAAAGCGGGUGAAAAGCCCGCUCGCCGGAAGACCAAGGGUUCCUGUCCAACGUUAAUCGGGGCAGGGUGAGUC
rnacentral:rRNA from 1 species